UUUGAGCUUAUUUGCCUUUUGGGAAUAUACUC
rnacentral:piRNA from 1 species